AUGGCAGUAUAUCAGUCUUUUUCCCCCCCAAAGCCUCUGCAAAUUAUUUCACCGUCAAGCCUUUUUAUUUAACAGUUAAUGCUUCUACAGUCUUGUAUCAGCAACCUUAAUACUUAAGCAACUUUUUCAGAAUGAAACGGCGUGCUGUAACAACUACCAACAGAGUUUUAUUGGUUCGUUGAUAACAAUCAUUACACAGGUACAUCUAUAAACAAAUAAGGAACUGCACACUUGUACUUGAUACAGAGAUCUAAAACCCCACAUGAAUAUUGCUACUGCUGGUAUGCAUUUGACAUCUCAAAUAAAUGUACAGUUUGUUGGUUGGCCUUUAAGAAGCCAGUCUCAACAGGUUUCUUUUUUAUGAUUACACACCCCUUUAGCUUGGCUACGAAAACAAAUUCCAUUUUGACCAUCCUUACAAUGUACCACUACACACUGCAUAUAGAAAGAUUGAAAACCCUUUUCACAGCAGCUUUACAAAGUUAUUGCAAUGCUAUCACAGAACAGAGACACAACCAAACUAGCGACGCACAGCUCCAAUAAGGAGAGCUCCAGUAAUAGGGAUUUUAGCUUUAUUGAUCAGAUUCAUUAAGAAAAACGGCAUGAGUACAAGAGUUAACAUAUAGGAACAAAGCUUACAAACAUUCUAAAACACUGUUCUUCAUUAUAAACAAUAAAACAAUGAGUUGCCCUGUGACUUUGUCCAUCCCCACCCCGGCACAGAUUACAUACACUGUCCCUUAUAAAGCAUAUGGAAUGUAGUCCACGCAGACAAGCUCUUCCGGUUGUUGCCCCAGCUCCUGUGAACGAUGUGCUUGCGCGUCGACACGGUAACCUGUCCCGCACCCUCCCCUCCUUCACAUUUAAAACUGAAAUGAAAUCCACCGACAGUAACAACAAUGACCGCAACUUUUAUGGCGAUGCAAAAUUGUGGGAUGUGACGAAAUUCCCGACUCCAAAAUGACUUCUUUUUUGUUUUUUUUCAUU